ACUUACACUAUCACUUACACAAUCAGACAAUGGUUGCAGGGUGAUUACUGCGUGGUUGCGUGGUGGUUGCAUCAGACGAUGGUUGCAGGGUGGUUGUUAGGUAGUUGGCCGAAAGUUGCAUCAGACAAAGGUUUUAAUUAGACGAAAGUUUUUGGGUGGUUGCUGGGUGGUUAGUCGAAGGUUACAUCAGAUGAAAGUUUCAAUCAGACGAAAUAACUGUUAGCAAAAUGUUUAUGCAAUUGUAAUGCAACUGUAAUGCAAUUGUUGUGAAACAUUAAAAAUCAGAUAGUGUUUUCACGUGAAGUUACCAGAAUUAAUGGUAGUUCUCUUUCUGGUUGAAUUUUUGUUUCGGUUGCAUUGAGUUGUUGCGUAGUUGCACGGUGGUUGCGCGAUAGUUGCCUAGGAAGCAUGGAUCCUGGAUUGAAGGUGUGUGUAAGUUGUAUUUGUGUAAUUUUUUUUAUAUAGGUUGUAUAUUUAUUUAUUUGGCCAGCUGAAAAUAUUUUUGUAAUAUUAUUACUUUUUUUGGUUAAAAUUGAAAAAAACCAUUAGUUUUAUAAAAAUUAAUUUAAGUUUAAAGUAAUGUCGAUUCUUUAUUUUUAAUU